AUUAGAUCUUUCUCUCUUCUUUUUCUUGAAUCAGAUUUGUAAUAUACUCUAUUAUUGGUGUUUCACAAUGGAGCUCUUGAGGUUUUUAUCAAAUCAUAUAGCAAGGAUAUAAGAGUGCAGGUUCACAUAUCAAAAGAUUCGAGAUACCAAGGCUAUAUUCGAUCUCCCUUAAUAUGAUGGUUUAUCCACUGUAUGUUCGGCUAUGUAACCUUUUAAGUGAGGAAGUAAGGAGGAAACAUUUUUGGACUCGCAAGCAUGUCUAGACUCGGGAAGUAACAGAAGUACUCUCUAAGGUAUCAUAAAGUAAAUGCACUAAAACUACAUUAUACAAUAUAUAGUAGUCAUGGUGUCUGGCCUUUGGUAGAGUAAUUCAUGAGGCCCGAGUCUAGGGUCAUAGAAACUCGAAAUAGUUAAAUGUCUCCCAAAGGGAGACUGGUAUGGGUAGACAAAGGUUGUCAUUUU